rnacentral:rRNA from 1 species
AGAGUUUGAUCCUGGCUCAGGAUGAACGCUAGCGGCAGGCUUAACACAUGCAAGUCGAGGGGCAGCAUGGGAGUAGCAAUACUUCUGAUGGCGACCGGCGCACGGGUGCGUAACGCGUAUGCAACCUACCUGUAACAGGGGGAUAACACUGAGAAAUCGGUACUAAUACCGCAUAACACUAUGAGAGGCAUCUCUUGUGGUUGAAAGUUUCGGCGGUUACAGAUGGGCAUGCGUUGUAUUAGCUGGUUGGUAAGGUAACGGCUUACCAAGGCGACGAUACAUAGGGGGACUGAGAGGUUAACCCCCCACAUUGGUACUGAGACACGGACCAAACUCCUACGGGAGGCAGCAGUGAGGAAUAUUGGUCAAUGGACGGAAGUCUGAACCAGCCAUGCCGCGUGCAGGAAGACGGCUCUAUGAGUUGUAAACUGCUUUUGUACAAGGGUAAACCUGAAUACGUGUAUUCAGCUGAAAGUACUGUACGAAUAAGGAUCGGCUAACUCCGUGCCAGCAGCCGCGGUAAUACGGAGGAUCCAAGCGUUAUCCGGAUUUAUUGGGUUUAAAGGGUGCGUAGGCGGAUUGAUAAGUUAGAGGUGAAAUGUCCGAGCUCAACUCGGGAACUGCCUCUAAUACUGUUGAUCUAGAGAGUAGAUGCGGUAGGCGGAAUGUAUGGUGUAGCGGUGAAAUGCUUAGAGAUCAUACAGAACACCGAUUGCGAAGGCAGCUUACCAAUCUAUAUCUGACGUUGAGGCACGAAAGCGUGGGGAGCAAACAGGAUUAGAUACCCUGGUAGUCCACGCAGUAAACGAUGAUAGCUCGUUGUCGGCGAUACACAGUCGGUGACUAAGAGAAAUCGAUAAGCUAUCCACCUGGGGAGUACGUUCGCAAGAAUGAAACUCAAAGGAAUUGACGGGGGCCCGCACAAGCGGAGGAACAUGUG